rnacentral:lncRNA from 1 species
UGAGUCUAAGGUUAGUGGACCAUCGGUUCUUGAUCUUGGGUUAGAAAUAUUUUGAUGUUGAUCUUUUUUUUUCCUCCUAAAUUUGUAGCUUAUGCUCCUCUAUCUGUUUGAAAGAAUUUGAAAUUAUUUAUCAAUCUUAAAGAUUAUUCUAUGCUUAGAUGUUUCUUUUAUGGAUAGUAAAUUAGAGUCAUUUAUGAUCUUGUGAUAGAUCGAUUAAAUUAAGAUCGAUCAAUGUUUUUAGCAAGAAACAUGGUCUUCUUAGAUUAUCCGACAUGAUGGUCGAGUCUUGAAGUAUUAGACCUUAUUCUUAUGAUAAGACUUAAUGAUAAAAUUGCAUCGAUAAGUAGAACACCUAGAAACUUGCGGAUGAGGCUACAAUUAUGAAGGCCCAAAUUUUUGGAAGUACAGGUAGAAAAUUUUGGGUAUAAAUUUUUUUGGGAGAGGAAAAAGUAAUACCCGACCUUUUGGUGACCUAAUAUUGAAUUAGGUCCGUUCCACUCAACUGGCCUGGUAUGCUAGAAUUUGCCCAAUAGCCUAAAUAGGCUUAGAACUCAGAUCAGCCGAAGCUACUUGACCCAAAUCCACCUUGGCCCAAACCGUGAAGUGAGAAUUAAAAAAAAAAAAUGAUGCACAUGCCAUAAGGAAUCGUGGUUCGAAAGAUUCCUGUCUCUACUCCAUUUAUUUAAGGGACACCACAAACUAUUUUGCAGGUAAUGCGAGAUUAGUGUGAACUAUCAGUGUAUAAAAAAACAUAAAAAAAAAGGGACACCCCAACUUCUCUAUAAGCCCAUCGUUAAUCACUGUAGAUUUUAUCGGCAAUCUCAUGACGAAAUCUUUUUGAUGAGCCAUUGAUCUUCUUUUUCGGAGCAUUUUCGCCACCGUUUUUCCUUCUCGCCAUCUUCCCUCGACUAGUUGUCACUGGGCCCUACCACCGGAGACCCAGGACGAGGCUCGGAUGGGUGGCGACUCCUAUUUUCCUUUUUCCCUUGUUUUUCCUUCCCUUUUCAGGCGUCGUUGACUGCCAUCUCCGCCUUUGCAAGACGACAGACUUCUAGCUGUGGAAUACCGCUGGCUUCUCUCUCUCUCUCUCUGCCCGAAAGCAGAAAAAGGAAAGGGAAAAACAAAGACUACUUUUGACUCUCUCUCCCUCUCUAUAGUCUUCCUCUUGAGAUGGGCCCAGCAAAACGAUCCUCUCAUGUGAUCCUCUCACUUUUUCUUUUUUUUUUUUGCUUAAAAAAAGGGGAAGGGAGGAAGGGACAAGCCCACCCCCGCUAUGUAGCAACCCCCACUGAGCCCCCACCCUGCCAGGAGAAUGUUCGAUGCGGGUAGAAAUGACCGUGUGGUGGGCAUCCCGGCCGGUUUUACUCAUACCCUCCCCAUCCGUGGGCCCGGUUCGGUUAUCCCUCUGUGCUCCGACACGAAUACUACGUGUAAGUACGUCACACCUGGCACUACUGAGGCUACCAGUAGAGUGAUACGUCCUUCCAGACCCCAUAUCCGAGCAGUAAGCAUCCGGUCUCCACAAUUUAAUCGACGUCCGUGCGUUUCGAACUCGGAACCACUUGGUUGAAAGUAAGGCCACGCUCCCACUAGACUAACACCUCAGUGGCUCCACUCACUUUUUGUCAUUAUCCUGAUUUUUCAUCUAUAUUCUCUGAUUACUGUAGAGAAAGAAUCGUUUAGACAUGAGAUAAAUCGAUAUGGCCUAUAAAUUAAAAAGAUUGAAAGAAAAGUUUUUGGAGUUAUUUGGAUUUAUCAAAGUACUUGUGAGGUGAGUAAUGCUUCAUUUUUUCUAUAUUUAUCGACAAAUUAUUAAAUUAUUAUAUUAAUAAAUUUUAAAUUAUACUAUUCAUGAUCUAUGAAUUUGAUGAACAAUACUUUAUUAUUGAAUAUUCUUUAUUUUGGAAUAUUAUGAUAAUGCAUGAUUAGAAGUAUUAAUUUUAUUAUGGAUUAUGCAUGAUUGGAAGAAUUGACCUUGUUAUAGAUUAUACUUAAUUGAUUUUCAUACCACAUGACUUGUUAUAUUUUUGUUGAACCAAGAUAUGAAACUGCAUGAUUGUUUUAAAUUCUCAGCAUGACUAUGUUUAGGAUUUCACUAAUGGAGCUAAUAUGUUGGCACUUGAUUAGUCUUGAUAGGUUUAUAUUGCAAGAAGAUGUAUGGCAUACUACAAGAAGAUAUGUGGUUCUGAAGAAUUUUAUUGCAAGAUGAUGCACGAUAUACCGCAAGAUGAUGUAUGGCGUGGUAUCAUGACCGUGCCAUAGGAAAAAUGUAGUCAUAGCUCAUGACCGAUGAGAUUAACUUACUAUUUUGAAAAAAAGAGUAGAUUUUUACAAACGAAAUUUGAUUAUGAGAAUGUAGUUGACAUGUAUAAUAUUUUGAUAAUGCUGCAUAUCUGUAAUUGGUUUUGAACUGAUAAAUUCCAUAUGCUUAUUUUUUAUAAACUAUUACUUAUUGAAUUGUCUGAUUUAUCUAAUUAAUAUAUUCAUUGCUUACUUUUUAUAAAUUCGGAGAACUAGUUUAGCUUAGGAUUUUGUUAUGAGCGGGUGAUUAUAGUUAGAAUUUUGUUAUCUUUAUUUUGAAUUAGAAUUUUACUACAGUUUAGUAUAAGAUCUUUCGAACAUUAUUGAAUAUGAUGAGACAUUAUAAUUUGAAUUUUAAUUAUUUAAAAUUUAAAUUUAAUUAAUUAAUUGUUUAUUUUGUUGUUUAUUUUAUAAUAUCGUGAUGAAAUAUUUUGAAAGUUUGUAAAAAGAGAUUCUAUAAAUAUACAGUAAUUGCCACGAUGUUGAGUCGUAAUUUUGGAUCAGAAAAUGUGACAAUUACGAGCAGUAAAAUAAGUUAUUCAUCUGACUUCGAAGCGCGCUUACUAGAAUUCCACGCGUGUUUCAGCAUGUGAAGAGAUCUUCCAUUUAUGAAGGGUAGUAAAUCCCACUCACUCCUACGGUAUAUACCCGUUCAUAUCUAUUUUCAUAUUCAAUUCGGACCAUACUAUUUUUUUGGUCCGGUUAAAUUUAAAUACGGAUUCGAAUAGUCAAUUCAAAAAUCUUCCGACUACAGAUAGAGAUGUAUCUGAUUUUUCUGAAUUCAGAUCUGAUUUCGAAUUCGGAUAUCCAUAUAGUAAGUAAAAAGAAGAAGUUUAAGUAAAAUUUUACUAGAAAACUAAUUAGGUGAUUAACUAAACUUAAACUAAAAAGAAUCUAAAUAUUGGACGGCUGGCACUUAAGACAGUUUUCGAAAUACAGAAUACCCAAUUCGAAUAAAAUUCUUCGAAUCAUCCCACAUGUCUGAAAGGCUCAAACCUCUUAUUCUUCCGCUUCAUCCCACUUUCCUCUUCGCCGUGUUGAAUUAGAGUUUUGAAAAUCUCUCCUUUUUUUUAAUGGCUAUAUCUUUCUUUUUAUUUUUUAUUAAUUAAUUUUAUUUAAAUUUGAUUAAUAUCCAAAAAAAUAUUUAAUUUAUAUAUGUAUUUAGAUAAAAAAUAUGAAUAUAUUUAAUAUAUGAUUUAUAUCUCUAUCUAUUUAUAAUAAAUAUAGAUAAUUUUUUAUCGAUUUAAAACAAAUAUAUAAAUUAUUUUUGAUAUUUAUUUAAUAUUCAUAUUUAUAUUUAUUAAAAAAUAUAAAUAUAAAUAUAGAUAUAAUAAUAUUCGAUCAUUAAAUUUUUUAAAAUAGAUACGUGUCACGAUCAUAACGCCUCUGAUGAGGAUAUAAGGAACCGUGUUCCUUUUGAACUCUUGAACGCGGUUACUUUUUAUUUCACCGAAGAGGCGGCGGGUCGGCGGGUCGGAGGGAAAUAUAAUAUAUUAGUAGAAGACAAGGCGAAAGGUCCCGCUCGUGAACCCACGAAAACCCUCUUGUGGUUUCCCCUCUCGCCCGCCCGCCCUCCCUCCAAUGGAGUCCCUCGCCUUCGCCCGCCCCUCCCGCGUUGGGCUCCAAUUCCCCGCCCGCUCGCCGCCGCCAACGGCCCCAGGCAGACGCCCUUUCCUCCUCGCCCGUCACCCCCGCCCCGCAGCCGCCGAGGGAAAAGGUCCCCUCUGGACCGCCGCCGCCGUCGCCGUCGCUUCCUCCUCCUCGGCGGCUAUCACGUCGCAACCCGACGUCGCCUCCUCCUCCCGUUCCACUCUUCCCCUUAAAAGGGUUACCGCCGAUUCGUUGCAGUACGAGAGCGGGUACUUGGGCGGCAUCUCGGAGAGGACCGCGGCGCCGGGGGUGGAGGGAGGGAGGGAUGGAGCGCCCAAUCCGAUGGAGUAUCUGACCAAUAUACUCUCUUCGAGGGUGUACGAUGUCGCAAUCGAGUCCCCCCUGCAGCUGGCGCCGAAGCUGUCGGAGAGGCUUGGGGUCGAUAUCUGGCUCAAGAGAGAGGACUUGCAACCCGUAAUUCCUUCUUCUACUCUCGUUUUUUUCUGUGGGAUUUCGUCCAAAGAAUGUUUUUUGUUUUUUCUUUGUGAUUUUUGUUGUUGUUUUUCACUAAAAUUUCAAACUUUGUACGAAUUUAUAUUGAUUUGGUUCGGUGGAGUCUCUAACAUCAUAGGUUCUCCACUUCUCCCAUUGUACAAAAUAUUUCCAUCUCUUUUGCCGCUAAAUUCUGCAUGCCAUUUUGCUUAGCCCUUCUUUCAGUGCCCCCUGAUUAAAAUACCGAUUAACUUUCAUAAUCAUGCUUCCUUUCCUCUUUCCCUACGAUUUUUUUUGUGCUGCUAGAAUUUUCGAAUAUAGCGCAUCAAGCCCGAGAUGCAAAGAUUUCUUCUUUCUUCAUUUUUCUCUUCCAUUUCUAUACGAGAUUCUCAAACUGUAUUUAAUGCAUGCUAUCGAUGGACUAAUGUAAAUCUUCAAUUUGACUGAGUCGAUAAUUAAUGUUUGUUCUUCACUCCUGCUCAUCUCUUGGUUAGUAUGACGUAGUUGCGAGCACAAGCUUUUCAUGUCUGCACCUCAAAAUGUUCUUGCUUGGAAGUGAUGGCAAUGUUGACUUAAUAUGCAGGUCUUUUCAUUCAAGUUGCGAGGGGCAUAUAACAUGAUGGCCAAGCUGCCAAGGGAUCAGUUGGGCAGGGGUGUUAUCUGUUCAUCUGCUGGUAACCAUGCCCAAGGAGUUGCAUUGGCUGCUCGGAAACUAGGUUGUGAUGCUGUGAUUGUAAUGCCCGUUACCACACCAGAAAUUAAGGUUUCUUUAUCGCUCUCUGUUAUUACCGUCUUUUCCUUUUUCUUGAUGGAUAUCUUGGUUUCAAUUUCAAUUGUUGUAUCUCUUUCUUUGCUUCCCCUUCUAAUAUAAUCUAUGUUUCAGUGGAAAUCUGUUGAGAGGUUAGGUGCAACAGUUGUUCUUGUGGGGGACUCUUAUGAUGAAGCCCAGUUAUAUGCCAAGCAACGUGGUGAGCAGGAAAGUCGCACAUUCAUACCCCCUUUUGAUCAUCCAGAUGUCAUCAUAGGUCAGGGCACUAUUGGGAUGGAAAUCAUUCGCCAAUUGAAAGGCCCACUACAUGCUAUAUUUGUGCCUGUUGGAGGUGGUGGACUGGUAGCGGGAAUAGCUGCUUAUGUAAAACGGGUUCGCCCAGAGGUCUGUGUCUUUUUGAACAUUUCUUAUCUUGUUGCAGUGACUUAAAAUAAUUUGUGAUAUGCGCACAAAUUACUGUAAGAGGAAAAAAAUAUGCAUUCUCAUAGUUGGAUGUUAGAGCAUGUUUAUAUUCUAAAUAUUGUAUCAGCUUAUUCUUUUUAUCUGUAUCCAUUUAUAUCCUGUUGUAAUAGCAAGGUCCUGAGCAACAUUAAUAUGUAUGCAUAAAUUCCAUGUCCUGGACUUCACUUUAUAUGCUGUGAAUUUAUAUUAUAUGUUUUAGAUCCCCAAAAUUCUUGAUCAUUUGAAUUAGAUAGAUCCUCAUAUGCUUGCCUUUACAUAUAAGAGGUCUUGUUUUGACUCUGGAUUACGUUCAUUAUAUUCUUCUUAUAAUUUACACAUUUACUGUUGACAAUGAUCUGUUUUAUUAUGUUUGAGAAUUUUUAACUUAUUUCUUUUAUUCUAGUAUUGUAAUAGAGCUUUACGAUACAAUUUUGUUUUAUUCAAUUUCAAUGGCCUUAAUUUGAAUUAUUUUGCCUAGAAACAAAUUUUGCUGAUGAUUUUGCUUCAAAAUUUUGAUUUAAUGUGAUUAUGGAAGGCUUAGUGUGCAUUUGAUUUUCAAAAAACUUAAGAGUGCUUUAAAGUGGAAAAAGUUUGUUUCUGCGACUUCAAUGAGAAAUUGGUAACCCAGAACUAGAACAUGCUAUACCAAAGGCGGAUAUGCAAUUAAUGAUACCUCUAAUCUAAGGUACUAAAUUUGGCUGUGAGCAUAUAGUUCCUUUUCUUUCCUUCUUUUGAGGGGAGUUGUGGCCAUAUAACUCAAGAAUCCUUACCGCUGAUCAUGAUCUACAUAUUUUAUAAAAGUAUGGCCAAGAGUUACCAAUUUCAGAUUAUGUCUCCUGUAGAUGAAUUGAAAACAUUCCCUCGCUCCCUCCCUCUCUCUAUCUCUCAACACAAGCAAGAUAGAAACAUGUGUGAUCUCCUAGGAUAUCAUGCAUGCUUCGUAAAGUACACUGUAUACUGCAGUGUACUGCUUAUUUUGGUGAAACAUUACAUGCUUGGAUCUUGAACAUCGAAUCUCAAAUAGAACUCUGAUUACACAUAUAAUAAUUUUUUUAUCUAAUAUGUGCCGGAUGCCUGAUUAGGUCUAUAAACUUCUAUAUCCUGUUCUUUGUGUAACGCUGACAGCAUGUCCUGUCUCACAAGGUUUUCUUGAAUUCAGUUGGAAUAUGGGCUCAGCCUACUUUUUCUUUUUGCUUUUUUUUUCACAAAUAGUCUGAUUUGCUUCUUCAAGUACAUCAAGAUGAAAUGUGUCUUUAUAUCGUGGAGAGGAAUGUCAUUGUUAAGUGGUCUAACUUUAUGUUUAUUAAUGUGCCACAGUAAGGCACUUUACUUUAUCUGAAUAGCAAUCCUUUGUUAGAGUUGUUGAUACUAUUUAGCUUUCUCUGCAGGUAAAGAUCAUUGGAGUGGAGCCUUCUGAUGCAAAUGCCAUGGCAUUAUCUUUGUAUCAUGGUCAAAGGGUCACGCUAGAGCAAGUGGGAGGAUUUGCAGAUGGUGUGGCUGUUAAAGUAGUUGGAGAAGAGACAUUUCGCUUAUGCCGAGAACUGGUAGACGGAGUGGUUCUUGUCAGUCGUGAUGCUAUUUGUGCAUCUAUAAAGGUUAAACUUUGUUCUUUUUUUUGCAUUCAUUAAUAUUUUUAUGAAAUAUAUUAUGUUAAGAGGAUACUCAGUCUUCUUAAUUGUGCAACAUGAAACACUGAUCAGACUAAAAUGUUGAUGCAAGAACCCGUAGUAAAUCAUAUGUUUAGUAGUAAAUUUCUAUUGUAUUACCUAGCGUUUCAUUUGUAAGGUUAUGAAGUUACAUCGCACAUAAUAGCUAGAUGAAGGUUGUUGUACAUACUGGCGAUUCAUUAUUGCUAUUAAGCAUUAGAUACUUGUUUGCUUCUAUCUACUUUCUCUCCAUUUACCUCUAGGGCCAUAUAUGCAUUCAUGCUCACCGUAAAAAAUAGGACAAUUUUGGUCAGUCAAGGCAGUAUUAUUUAUCAUAUCUGCAAUUGGUAUUUCUCUUUGUUUAAAUUUACAUACAAUUUUUCUAACUGCUUAACCAUUUAGCUGUCCUUUUGAUGAAGAGGUUGUUUAAAUACUUAUGGAUGGUGCAUAUCUAAUGAAAAUCUAAGUUUUUGAUAACCGCAAUGAGAUUGGAUUGUCAACUUGAUGGUUAGAUGAAGUUAACAAAGUGACUGUGCUUGCACUGGGAAAUUAGUUCCAAGAAUUGAUGUGUAGAAAAAUCUGUGAAUUGUUGGAAUUCAAGAGGGCCACUUCAAUAUUUCAAUGACCAUUAUAUUGAGAAAAGCAAUGUUUCUCGUAUAAAUACUUCUACGCAGGACAUGUUUUACAUUAGACAAAAUAUUCUGUGCUUACAAGAUUACACAGCUGAAAAACAGAAUUUAUAUGGAAUCACAGCUCGUAAUUUGCAGGCACAAGCAAACAGAAAUUCUUAGUUUGAUUUGUUUGUGAAGAGUUGUUGAGCAUGUGAUUAUAUGCUCUACCAACUACUAAGCUUACUUUUAGUAAUCAUAUACUAAUGUCAAUAGAUGGAAUAAGACUUCAGCAAAGGUUACUAAAUGAUUUAGUUGUUGUUUAUUAAUCUGGGCCUUAAAGCACAUUUGGAAAGGUGUGAUGUUAAUUCCAUCAGAUGUAUAAAUUUUCCCCUUCUUUUAGAAAAAGAACUAUUCUUUUUAUAAAUUGUGGGCAACUCACAUAUGCUUGGCUGCUUAGUUAGGGUCCAUAAGUGGAUCUUUUGACUAGUACUGAAAUUGAUAGUCCUUGUACUUACCACUGGAACUUUAUCGGCGAUUGUUAGUUUUGCCGAUUGAUAAUUUCUUGUUUGCUAUUCCAGGAGAAGAAUUCCUUAACUGAUUCAGAGAGCAUGUGCUUCAUAAUGUAUUGAACUUCCUAAAUACAUUAAUUAAUCUUUGAUCAACUUAUUGAAUUGUUAUUUGUUGGACCAAGUGUUUCAGAACUUGAUAGUUUGUAACUGUAAAGAUGAAUCUAAAAGCAUAGGUACCUGAUUUACUGAUUAUGAGCUAGUAAUGAUUUCUUUUAGUUGAAUACAGCCUAUUAUUAAUGAUGAUAUGAUCUUUUAACAUUCUGAUAGACCUAUUUCUAUGGUUUCUUUUGGGCCCCAAUGCUUCAGUAGAUUUUACUCUCCAAUACAAUGAACUUUCUAUACCCAACAUGUAUUUGACUUAUUUUCCACUUAAGUGGAGCUAAGUAUUUUGUGGCUUGCAAACUUGGCAGAUAAACUUGAAGUGCAAACAAUUUGUAGUGCUGGAGGUGAUUCUAGAUAUUUCUAUGACAUAACAAGCAUUUCCUGUGAUGCUCUUAUUCUCAUCAUGUGCUGCUAUAAGAUGUUUCCUUGAGUGAUCUCUUAAAGUUUCUUUUGCUUCAUUAUAUUUUCGUUUUUCAAGAAUUAGAAUUUGGUGUCUGAGUACAUCUUUAUUUCUAUUUUUCUAUAAAAACUGUAGAAAUUAACAGAUUUAAAACUUAAAUGUUGAAAUAUUUACAUUCACAUGCAGGAUAUGUUUGAGGAGAAAAGGAGCAUUUUAGAACCAGCUGGUGCCCUUUCUUUAGCUGGGGCAGAAGCCUACUGCAAAUACUAUGGCUUGAAAGGUACAAGUGUUGUUGCAAUAACUAGUGGCGCAAACAUGAACUUUGAUAGGCUUAGGUUAGUAACUGAACUUGCUGACGUUGGUCGGAAACGAGAGGCUGUUCUCGCUACCAUACUGCGAGAGGAGCGUGGAAGUUUUAAACAAUUUUGUGAACUGGUAUGCUACAUGAUUGUCUUUAUCACAUUUUAUGAUUCAGACUUUGUGGUCUUUAAACAUGUAAACAUGGAUCAUAAUUGCAGGUUGGUUCUAUAAACAUUACAGAGUUCAAAUAUAGAUAUGAUUCACGUAAAGAAGAUGCUCUUGUUCUUUACAGGCAAGUAGUAACUUGAUUUUAGUGAGAUUGUAGAACCUGCUUAUGAUCUGGAAAAAGAUGCUUUGAUGCCAUUUUUCUUCAUUUUUGAGAAUUUUCAAGUUUUUUUUUGUUUUGGAGUUUCCUUUGUCAAUGUUAGACUCUUUUUAGUGAUAUUCUUGCAUAUAAUGAAUUCGGUGCAGAAAUGUAUAGGUCUGUGAAUUUUUUUAGUCUUUUGGCAUUUGCUAUUGCAGUGUUGGGCUUCACACUGAUGCUGAACUUGUAGCAAUGGUGGAGCGCAUGAAAUCUGCACAGCUAAGAACUAUUAAUCUUACCAACGAUAAUGUGGUGAAGGAUCAUAUGCGAUACUUUGUAUGUUUCUCAUCUUGUUUUAUCAAUAAUCCCUAUAAGCAUUCUCUAUUUGAUUGCCUAAGCUCAGAAACUGACAAACUUUGAGAAAUUAAUCUAUGCUGGAUUUUUUUUCUUUCUAUUGGCCUGUUGUAAAGAGUGUCAGAAAUCCUGGCGUAAUACCUGAUCUGGUUUGGAUGUGUAAUAAAAUAUGGGUUGGGAUUCAGUCUUUGGUAUAAUUUAGAAUUUUGACAUGCCAGACUUGUGUCCAACACUCUGACAACAUUGUAUUUCUGGUAAACUGGGAUAAUUGAUCUAGUGUAGAUACAUCCCAUAGAGUCACUCAACAAAAGAUCUCUCAGCUCACCAGUAGUAACAGAAUUGUAACAAAUAGAAACCAUGGUCAGCAACAAAAUUGGCAACCCAAUCCGCAGGCCGAUUACCCUUGCAGUAGGUGUGGGAGGCGUGGAACCUCAGAAGAUGAGAUUGCCAAAUAUCUGUAAGCACAGGGUAAAGAUUCACAUUCUCACUGGGGCAUCAAUUGAUCCAGGAGACCACUAUUGACACCUCCCCGUCAAGCCCUAUACCCUUGCCUUGCAAGGAGGUAACUGCAGAGCAAAGCGCACUGCAGUCUGACACCCUUGUCUUGUGGUGUUGGUGUAUGCAUGUGUGUCUUAACCUUAUGGAUAUGUAUAAUGACUACAUACAUACAAAUGAACCUGUUACAAACAUGUGUGCAUGUGUAUUUACUAUAUGGUCAUUUAUUUUUGUAGUGGUUGUGUAUAUGCAUACAUGAGUGUUCAUGCAUGCAUGUAUCCAUACGGAUAAAUACGUAUUCAUUUCACAUGCAACAAUAUAUGCACCUGCUUAUCUUGUGGCCAUUUCCAACAAAUGUUGUGGAAAAUGGGGCAUAGAUUGUCCCUUACAUGUCAUGGAAAAUUAUGGUUUCUGAAAGCAUAGCUGUAAGAAGUUGUAACAAUAAAUGCAAGAUUUAAUCCAUCUUGCUGUGUUCCAUCAAUUCAAUUGUUUGCCAAAGUCUCCAUCAAGUUACUUUGCUGGCUUAUCUUAUAAUCUUAUAUACAAUGCAUAUGCGGCAUAGCCUUGGAAAAAUCAACAUACCAAAUGCCAUCAUUAAUUUUAUUUCAUUCUGGUAUAUCUUCAGAUGGGAGGCCGGUCGAAUGUCCAAGAUGAGCUACUUUGCCGAUUUAUCUUCCCCGAGAGGCCAGGUGCUCUCAUGAAAUUUUUGGAUGCCUUUAGUCCACGUUGGAAUAUCAGCCUCUUCCAUUAUCGAGCACAGGUUUGUUACUUUCCUGGUAUCUAUCUAAACUAACUUGUCAUCAGCUUGAAAUGCUAUGAAGGAAGAUCCUGCAUCCGUGAGGAUGGGAUGAAAGCUUUCUGUACUGAGGAAAAUUCUCGAGUUCUUUUUAUAGGAAUAAGCAAGGGCAGGUUAUACUUCUGAAGAGCAGGGUGAUAUUAUUUGCACUCAGAACAAAAGAACAAUAUACGCAUUAUUUAUAUUUUGGUUGCUUUUCUUUCACAGGGUGAGACUGGUGCUAAUGUUUUGGUUGGAAUCCAAGUGGCAAAGGAGGAUAUGGAAGAAUUCGCAAAUCAGGCUAACAAACUUGGUUAUGAGUAUACGUACGAGGUAACUAAUGAGGCUUAUCAGCUUUUAAUGCAGUGAAUAGUAAUCAAACCAAAUGUCUGUGAUCGCAUGCGGUGGAAUCGGGCGUGAUUGCUCUGAUUAAACAUGCAGUGGUUGAAGAUUUUAUUGGAGGAACCUGGUGGGUGAAAUAUCUAGGAUCUAAUGAGACUGUUUUUCGACUCUAGCAUUGAAUUCCCAAUUUUUUUCUAUCUUUUUAUCAUCUUUAGUUUUGGGCUUAGAACUAUACUAUAUAUCUGCUGCCCUCGGGAAAAGGUUCCCUCACUAUUUAUGUAAUCUAUAGGUGUUGUUUGAAGAGGACUCCAAGGCAAUCAUUUUGUAGCUCUAGCAAGCGUUGUAUAAUAGACCUUGCAGUCCGCAUUAAGAUUGAUCGAGCUGCAGCAUUGCUCAUCGAGACUCGAUCGGCUUAUCAAAUGGGUUUCAUCACUCUGUCUUUGAGAUCUUCUGGGUUUCAUCACUGUCUUUGAUUUACUAUUAGCUCAUGGACCUCACGUACCUUUGAGUUGGGAGGUUCCAGCUGCAAGUUCAGAAACAGUAAACAUGUUCCACGCUAGUUUAUGCUCUACUGAGGUUGUAGAGGAGAGACAUUCUUGGGACUUUAUAUGCUCGACUAUGUUUAUCUUUGAUAUAGAAAUUUCCCUUCCUAACGCGCCACCACUUUCUUUUGUACGCAGGGAAUCACCCGAGAGAUUAAGUUUAGGGCGCACUUAGAAAUUGGAAUGGAAAUUUGAAAUGGUUAUCAAAAUGGAUCGGAGUAAAAAUUGGAAUGGCCAUAUCUAUGCUUGAUUCAUGAUUGGAAUUAGAAUUAGAAUAGGAUUUGAAUACUAAAGAGUUGGAAUUAGAUUUUGAGGGGUUGAGAUAUUCUCUGUUUUUUUUUUUAAUAGAAACUUUAUUUCUUUCUGAAAUUAGAAUUGGACUAAAAUUUUUUCCAACCAAAUGGUUAGAAAACAAAUGCCACGCAAAAUUUUGCAGUGAUUUGCGAGAAGAAAAUAAUAGUGAAACAAAAGAAAUUGAGAGAGAAAAAUAAAUUUUUAUUCAAGAUAAAAUAAAGGCUAAAACAAUAGGAUUGGCUCUUACUCUUAAAUAGGUCUCACCUCACCAAAAACAAUUCUGUCCAAAUUUCUUUAUAUAAUUCUCUCUUAUUUAAAAAACUGUAUUUUCUUCCAUUACAGAACAAAAAUAUCAAUCUUUUGUAAGGACUAAAAAAAACAAACUCAAAUAUAUUAAAUCUAAUACUCAAGCAACUCAACCUAACAAAAAUAGAUUUGCAUUAAAAAAAUAAAUUAUUCUAAUUAAUAUUGGCAUAGAAAAUAAAAGUAAACUAGAAAUAAAAUUUUAAUACAAGUAGUUAGAGCAAGCAAAUUUACGCCUAGCUAGCAAGCAGCCUUGGGCACAGCAACAACUGUUCCAGGAUCCAAUAUUUACAGCACCCAUUUAUCCUUUUUUUUUUCUUAUAAUGUGGCAUCCAUUAUCUUCACACGAAUAUCAAAUCUAGUUCCAAUAGAUGACCAAUUAGGGAGGCCUACUUGCCCAGCAGCAAUUAUUCAAAGCAGGAAGAGAGAACGAGGAGUAUUUCUGAGUUUCAGAAGAAAAGCAUUUCUUUUGCAGUCACCAUUAACGUCCAUCACCAACUCAACAUUAUCUUAAUUCUUAGGUCGCAGGUGUCAGCUAGUGAGUUAGAAUAAAGAACAUCUGUUUGGUUCAACCAGAGAAAUUCAUCAGAGUGAUGCGCCGCGAGGCCACCAAAAUGCUUAGUUCUGAGAAAUACAAAUAAAUGGAAAGGAGAGAAUCAUAAGAACAUUGCAACGCAACGCCUGGUUUUCUCCUUCUACCACCUGUUCUCUUGUUAGUAGGGCUAAGUAGAGGAAAGGCAACAGUGUGGUCCAUGAUCUGACCGUUCCAAGAUUAGCACAAUUGUACCUAGAAAAUUUACUAAUCCAGCUGGCUGGCAUCUUCCCAUUUAUAUACAUAGAUGCUACACACGUGCCAUACAUGUGAGGCUAAGCAUGGAUAACUGUGCUUGCAUUUAUGUCUAUGAUCUCGCUCUCAAACUUUUUGUUGCUCCGCUCGUUCUCUCUCUCUCUCUCUCUCACUCUUUGUGUGUGUCAAUAAAUGUGUGUAUCUGCUAUAAUGGAUAAUUUAUAUAUUUUUAGCAUUAAUAUAUCUAAUAAAAUUAAAAAAAUAAUAAAUUUUGAAGUGCUCUGCACCAUCCAUCGCUAUAGCGAGACAUGCUUUUGCAAUUCACAUGAUUGAAGGCACAAAACGGCUCUUUUCCUCCCAAAGUAAUCUCUAUAGGCUAUGAUUAGUCCAAGCCAUGUAACUGUUAGUUAUAUUAGACACCAAGCCACUCACAAACGAGCCUUAAACGUGAUAAACUGCACCCACCCUUCUCGUUUCUAUCUGAAGACUGGAGCUUUAUGUAGGUGCAGAACAUGCUUCACCCUUGGUUGGGAAACCGGAUGGGCGUUUCUUGGAAUCCUAGGCCCACCCAUCACUUACUGCGCUUUAAUUACCCCACCUUUUGCGAACACCGCUUCCUAGUCCUCCCUCCCCUCUUUAAAUGGCCCCCCACAGCCUGCACCACCUGUCUUCCACCACCAUUACUCGCACUUCAGACCACCCCUCUCCAUUUCCCAACCUCUCACCCUCCUCCUCCUCCUCUUACACUCUCCUUCAAGCAUCUCCUCCCCCCCUCCCCACUACCAGAUGGGCUUAAGCAUGGUUGGAAUGGGUGGAUCGGUGAUGCUGGUAUUGGUGGCUCAACUAUUAAUGGCUGGGUUGGUGGGGGUGUGUGAAGGGCAGGGCCUCGUCCCUGGGGUCGUCAUCUUUGGGGACUCGGUCGUAGACGUCGGCAACAACAACAACCGCCUCACUCUCGUGAAGGCCAACUUCCCUCCGUAUGGGAGAGAUUUCGUCGACCAUGCUCCUACUGGAAGGUUUUGCAACGGCAAACUAGCAACUGACUUCACUGGUAACCAGCAAAGUUCUAGUUUGAGCUGCUUCUAAUUAAUGUUAUUGCAAGCCUACCAAAGAUGAUGUAGCCAACCUUCAAAUGGACUGCUCCUGAAACUACUAUCGCUAACAUUUUAUAUAUAAACGCAGUGGAGAAUCUUGGGUUCACUUCGUAUCCACCAGCCUAUCUCAGCGAGCAGGCCACGGGGAAGAACCUCUUGUCCGGUGCCAACUUCGCCUCUGGUGGUGCUGGCUACUUGGACAGUACAUCAACCCUUUAUGUGGGUGCUUUUGAUGCUUCUCUCUCUCUCUAUAUAUAUAUACACACACAGAGAAACUUCCUUUUUUUUUUUUGUGAUGUGGGACUAAUUAUAUAAUUAAGUUGUCAGGGUGCUAUCUCGCUGAAUCAGCAGCUGAGGAACUACAAGGAUUACCAGUCCAAGGUGGAGAGGAUCGCAGGGAAGGCAAAUGCUACGGCGCUCUUCGCCGGAUCCAUCUACGUAGUGAGUGCAGGGGCCAGUGACUACGUGCAGAACUACUACAUCAACCCCGUGCUUAACAGGGCCUACACCCCGGACCAGUUUGCUGACUUGGUCCUUCAAAACUUCAACACUUUCAGCGAGGUCUCUCCUCCAUAUCUCUCUCUCUCUUGAUAUCGUAUUGUCUAAAUACAUGUUUAAACAUUGAGUAGCACGUCAUAUAAAGCAUAAUAGACGGCGUAAGUUUUUAAGUUGGCAAACACAUGCAGAUGAGGUUUGAUCAAAAUACGCAGUCAUUUAUUGGUUGCUUGGAUGGCAGCUUCCAUAUCCCUGUGAGCUGUGAUGUCUACGGUGGAAAGAGCUGCUGAGUAAAGUAGAGGUACUUGGUAGGAUGGGGAGUACCUCUGGUUCUACCAUCCUAAGAUUUGUACUUGGUUUCAGUGGUAAUGAUAUCUUAAACAAAUUCUCUUUUUUGGGGGGAUACCGGAAUCGUAGAUCACCACCGAUUCCAUUUUUUUUCUGAUCUGGAGUCUCUAUGUUUGCUGCAUUAAAUAAAACACUCAAGAGCAAACAAAGAGCUACCAAAUGGGGGAUGAUGAGAUAAAAUUCUUCUCACUCAUCAAACUCAACAAAUAGGAAAUAUUUGCUCUAGAAAAUAUGGAGCAAUGUUUAUUGGUCACGCGUCUUCCACUUCUUUCCAAUUAUUUCAAUAUUUUUCAUUAAAGAUAUAUUUAAUCGGAUUAAUCAACUUGGAUUUCUUUGCUAAAAAAGCAUCCUAUUAGAUUUUCCAUUGGAGACUCGCAUGGCCCGUGAUACGCUGGUUUCCUCCAUGUCAUUUUGCACCUUGAAAGGUCGAAUCCAACUAUUUCAACCUUGUCGAUCAACAAUAAUUCCACCAUGGAGUUUGGUGGUAAAAACUGAUGUACUACUAAUGGUGUUCAGAGAGUCAACACGAAAAAUAAUUGCACCGAGCGAGUCAGGGACGUACAGUAGGUUGCCACACCCUCGAGCCUAGCAUUGUUGAAUGACUUAAAUGGCUCUUGUUGCGGUUCAUAACUUUCGCACAGACGAACAUCAGUAGAUCCGGCAUUCCUCAUUUAUCGAUCUCUUGAAGCUGGACCACCCACCUGUAUGGAAUCACUAAAGGCCAUCCUUGCAUAAGGUGGCACCCCACCCCAUGAUUCCACCAAGUUCUUUAUCUUCUUUUCAUCCUCUAUUAUUACACACAUGGUUUCUCCAUCAAUAUCGCACACUGUGUAGUAAAUGAGGCAUACUUUGAGAUCAAAUUGCCCUUCCUAAUAACGAUGGCAAACCUAUGGACCAGGCUCUAUACAAUUUGGGAGCUCGGAGGAUCGGGGUGACGUCGCUGCCGCCGCUAGGCUGCCUUCCGGCAGUCAUCACACUGUUCGGGGCCGGCAGAAAUGACUGCAUCGCCCGCCUCAACAACGACGCAAUAGUCUUCAACAAGAAGCUCAAAGCAGCCGGCCAGGCCCUGAAGAGGAGCCAUCCUAAACUGAAGCUGGUUGUGUUCGACAUCUACAACCCUCUGCUCGACCUCAUCGCACACCCUGAGAAUUAUGGUAACCUGCUCAUAUAUCCUAUAUUUUCGCCAGCCAAAAGGGGCUGGUUGGGCUUGUAGAUAUAUAUUGCUAAUGGUGAUUUUUACUCUUCUGUAAAGGGUUCUUUGAAGCAAGGAAGGCGUGCUGUGGGACUGGGACCAUUGAGACAUCUCUUCUUUGCAACACGAGGUCCCCAGGUACAUGCGCCAAUGCCACCGGGUACGUGUUCUGGGACAGCGCCCACCCAACAGAGGCUGCCAACCAGGUCUUGUCGGAUGCCAUCCUCGCCCAAGGCAUCGAUCUCAUCUCCUAAGCAGUGCAAUCGCACUCAAAAAUCUCUAUGUAUUUGUGAUCUACCUUCAGUUUAUCUAUAUAUCGACCAUAUCUCAGUAGUAAAUACUUUGUGUACCAGUGAAGGUGUGGUUUGUUACGUUUAGGUUAGUCUUCCUUCUUGAGGGGCAGGUGGUCUCGAGCUGGAAGUGGGUGCUUAGUGGGGUCUUGUGGAGAGGAAGUGCGUUUACAGGUGGUGGUGGGCUCAGCCUCCACUUCUGGAGUCCGGAAAGUUAUGUUGCAAAGUUUGACUACUAUGAUGAUAAUCUUUAAUUGUGUUGUCGGGAAACUACCAAGAGCAGUAAAGGUUCUUAAAAGGAGAACUGGUUGGGAUGGAAAGGCUGUAUACAAUGAGAAAUCUGAGAAAGAUCCUGGAACAAGAUGGAAUGAUCCAAACUCCAACCUGAACAGAGCCCUUAGUGGGGGAAAGUUUGCGGAGUUUUUUAAUUAUCGCAUGGUCUCCCUUGAUCUAGGCAAAAAAAAUAGGACCUUCAGUCAAGCUGAACAUCCUCGAACUUAUACCCGUAUAGAAUACACCCACAGAAAAAUGAUCUAUCGACUUGCCUGUGGCCAUUGAAUGCUCAACAGUGAAGCUUUCUCGUAUUUGAGCAAUCUUAUUCUCUUCCCCAAAGUCUGUUUGUAUCAUAAGUAAUUGAACAGGGCUGAACUUAAAAGCAUGCAGAAUGCAUUGCAGAACAUCCUGUGCCCGAAUAAUUGUGUUUAAUUUUCCGCGUAUGGUGCAAAUAGCAUUAAACUUGAUUCUCAGUUGCAGUAUCAUGGCCAACUAUUUCAAAGUAGCAGAUUAAUUUGGCAGACACUAACGUGUCAAAACAAUCACUAACCUCCAUGGAGAACAGAAAAUCGGGCAACGACAAUUUUCUCUUUUUCUGGAAAAAUCCUUAAUUAUUCAUAAAAAUAUAGCAGAUACAAUUCUAGCUUGGUAAUGUUCGACAGGAUCAGCGUGUUUUCUAAAUUUACCAUGUUUUCACGCAAGAGUAAACCAUGUCUAAGCUUAAGAAUAUUUAUCAACUUGCUUCACCUAUUUCUCAGUCCUAGAAAGUAAAAGAAUACAACUUCGAUGAAAAAAGUCCCCCAUAUAGAGUCUAGAACUCAAAAUAGUUGAAAUUUCCCGAGGUUUUUCCUUCACCAGGAGGAAUAUAAGUCCUAGAUAUUUACUGUGCCAAGGAAGAAAGGGUAGCAGGCUAAGAAUGUCCGGUACCGUGAUCAAGAGAACCAAACCAGUUAGGUCCUAGAUGCAAAAAUGUAAUUUGAAACAAGCUUUUAUAAUAGCGAAAUAAUAUACAUUGACAAUAUACAUAAACAAACACAGCUUGAAUAGUUCUGUUAAUAUUCUUUACAGUAAUGCACUCAUAUAUCUUCUAACACAACAGCUAAAUUUACAUUUUAUCAAGGAAUAUUGGAGAUGCAAGUAGAAAAUAUCUGUACCUUAAGAAAGUUCAAAUCCAGUGUUUGAACUGAUUGCAUAAAGUAGCUUGUUCCUCAAAGUACUUGAUCUUUUGUAUGUUGGAAGCUGAUGGAUUAAAACAAGCAAUAUCAAAAAUAUAUUGACUUUAGAAGAUAAACUAGUUAUUAAAUCCAUAGAUCCGUGCUUCAAAAUAAAUAAUAUAUAAGCUACUAAAUGGUAGCAAUAGCAAUUAGAAAGAGAAAGUUUAGGAUGAUUCUAUUAAUUACCUUGAGUGUGUUAUAGCAUGUGGAAGCUGAGGGAAGACGAUCUACAUCCUGCCCACCUAUGGUGGCCCAAAUAGGUACAUCACAUGCAACCUGAGCAUACAAUUCCAACAUCAGCUACAAUCUAUGAUGAAUCCAACAUAACAAUUAAGAAUGAAUUACUACGCAAAGCAUUUGAUGAUGAAUUAGUAAAUUGCUAAAGCUUUGCAUGUACUAUUGUAUUAUUUUCCUAAACAUGUCGAUCUACUGAUUGAUAGAAAAAAAACAAAUAUGUAUCUGACAAUCCAUGGCUCGUCAAACCAGUCUAGAUACAAGGAAAUCGAUCUAAAACUCCAAAUCAGCUGAUUUAUUCAAUCUCACUGCAACACUGAGUCACCAAAAUGAAAGGAUGAUUAUGAACCUGUCAAAAAAGACCUCAUGACAUCUUUGUAUUGUCACAAGGAUACAUUCUAUAAAUUGAGGUUGGACUUGAUAAACAGGGACAAUCAGAAGUACUUGAGCUGUUGCCUUGUAAAUGUCAUGUUAAAUGGUGCGCCAAGGAGGAAAACCGUUUUUUUAUUUAAAAAAGACAGAAUAAAAGAAAAUAGCCCACUCUGUAUCCACCGGAUUAAAGUAACAUGUAGCUUCUAAGAUCAUCCAAACAUACAAUUACAUGAACUUUUUAUAGUUCAAGUAGAUGCAAACAUGGGCUCCAGCACUAUCCUUUGCCUUUACCAUAGCAAUUAGCCGGAGGCAUUCAUUGUAACUAUAACUUAAUAUAUGUGGGGAACGACUGUUAGUAUCAAUCUAAAGUUACCAACCAGGGCUGUAGCCCAGUAGUUCAUACUCUGCUUCCAAUGGGAGGUGGUGUUCACACGUAUCUUCAUAUCUUGGUGCCCCUGGGGUUCUGAACAGGGUUAAUACAUGCCAGCUCCAAGUAAGGUGGUUGUUUGGUUUAAGUCUGGUUUAGGAGCAAUUCAGCAUGAUUUGGGCAUGGGCAGUUCAAGACUCGAGAGACUCAGUUCAAGAGCAAUUCAGCAUAAUUUAGGCAGUUCAGUGCAUGAUUCAAGGUUGUGAGUGAAAAAUUGGUACAAAUGAACUAGCUUAAGCCUGCUUUAAGGUGGUUUGGCACAUAUGGUACCAAUUUGGCCACUUCUAUGGGACGUGCAGCAGGACAUUGGCUACCCUCUGCUUUGUAUCCCACUACGGGCUGGACAAUUAAUAAAUAGGGCCAAUAAAAAGUUUCUGUUAUAAUGAACAUGGCGCAUCAUCACAAGAGUGGAAAUAUAUAAUUUCUUUCCAAAUCUUUUUCUUUUUCCUUUUAGGGUGCAGUGUGGGGAGGUUGAAAAAAAUAAACCCAUACCAAACCAUUUAUCUCACAUAGACUAUCCAAUUUGUCAACCAAAUCAGCACUUCACUUGUCAACACAUCUUAGCAAAUGAAAUGAUAAUAGGGAAUUUAAGGUUGCAUAUCCAAAUAAUUUGAGAAAGUCAAGAGAGAAAAUUUAAAUGGAGAAGAAAAUAUGACAAAUCCUAAAUAUGUUGAUUCCUCCACUUCUGCCUUUGUUAUAUUUAUCAUUCUUUUAACAAUUAAUUGCACAGCACUCCUAAUCAUCUGAACCAAUCCUUGAUUAAGCCAUAGCCUACUACACAAUUACCAUUAUCCUAAAGGUUCAGGUAUAGAUUUCAAGGAUUUACACCCAUGGUCACGCAUCAGGUCAAUGGGCCAAACCCAUACCUACCCACAUAUUUGGUAGGUUUCGGUUAAUCAAACCCCACCAAAGUAUAAAAAAAUUCUUAAUUCAAACCCAUUGAUUUCGGUUGGUUUGGGUUGGUUGGCAUGUCUAGGACAAAAAUUGCUACCCUCUAUAUCUCUCUCUGAUAAGAUGUAAAAUUCUGUUUUUGUCACUCUAAUGAGCCUGGCAUUUUAUUUUGGUUCUAAAUUGCAAUAUAUCCUUUAGGGUUUCAACCACAUAUAAGUACAAGCUGUUAAGAAAGGAAUAAAGUGCUGGUGCCCCCCCCCCCCCAAAAAAAAAAACCCACCUUCCAUUUAUUUUUGGUUCCGUAAAUCAGAAACAAAAGAUUUUUUUGAAGUAAAAAGACUGCCUCGAUAGUAUUGAUCAAAGUUAUUUGAAGAUUAAACUAUGCCUCCAAGUGUUAGUUGCUUGUGAAUUUAAAGGGGAAAAAUUCACUUUGUUCCAUCAUUUCAUUUGUUUUGGUUCAUUCAUGAACAACCAAAUUGGCACAGAACGAGAUAUUUUUAAAAAAACAACUCUGAACCAUCAAGUAUAGCCAUACUCAAAGGGAGGCGAGCAAUGCACAGGCAGCAGUAAUCUAGCCUGAGAAAAAGCAAAUAGUAGAAUAAGAUGGAAUAAUGUGAGCACAACAAAUCUCUUGGCUUAAGAAAUGCAACCAUUACCUUGGUAUUUUUCACAAAAAUAAUCACACUCCACAUACAGCUUUGUUUAAGAAAUAGAAUGAACUGUGCAAGUUAUUUGGUAUUUUCCUAAGCAAGUUCUUUUAGUAGGUAAAUCUUAGAAUUCUUAUAAGGCAAGACAUUUAAAAUAAAAAGUUCUUAGAAAAAAAUAUUGUAGUGUUUUAGCAGUUAAAGACACCAAUAAUACAGUCAAAAUGCCAUAGCAGGUCUAAACAAGACCAAACCUUAUGAAUCGUGAAAGAAGGCUGCAGAUGCUUGAAUCCAAGUAAUGGUGCUCGGGAACAGCUUGUCACAAACUUAAGUAACAUGCAUCUUUCAAUUGGUAUGAAUCCUUUGACAACCUGCAAUUUUAUAUGUCAAGCAUAAAUCUGGAUAUGCCCAUUAAAAUUACAAUCUUAUGUAAAGGAAUUUAGAGUUACUAAGAUUAUUAAGUUUGAAAAAAAACUGCAAUAAGGAAUAAACCGCAAUCAACAUAUUUCUUCCACCUAUGCAUAAUGAUAUUUGUUUCAUACUACCAUGAAUAAUUAACAUGUACCGUUCAUUAAGCAACCUAUUUAUUGAUCAACAUGACAAUCAUUGAUGCAGUAUUCAGGUAAAGCACAGAAACAUGUACUUCCAUCUAAAUUUUCUUUAACACAUUACAAUGUUGUCACCAGCAGGUUUAUUAAUAUUCAUCAGCAAUGCACUACAAGACAGCAACUCACAAUAACUCACUUGUACUAGAUUCCAUCAAUAUAAAGUGCAUCAUUGAGUUAUUUACCAUAUUUAUGUUAUUGUACAUAAGAUUUUAAAAUAUUAUCCAUCAUGUUGCAUGCAUGUAGCCUCUCAAGGAUAUAAUCAUAUCCAUGGCCACUACAAGCCCGUGACUAUUGAAGCGUUCCCCUGCAUAAGAUGGCAAUAUCAUUCAAGUCAGGUAUGGUUCCAGCAUUCUUAGUUUAGCGGGUUCAGUUUCAAUAGAGGUACUUUUGUUAUUCAGAAGAUUCUAACAAGUGCUUCAAAAUCUUAAUCCAGAUUUCUGCAACCUGUUUCAGCUGCCUUCAAUUAAGAUAUCCUGCAUUCCUAAAUAUCUAUGAAUGCAAAGCUUGAAUGGUUGACGAUCAAGAUCUUCCUCUUGGUUAAGCCCUUCAAAGCAAUGAUUGCUGACAAUAUGGUGUCUAACGUGGACCCAGCUUACCUCUUUGUAUAUUGCAUAUCUACUUGUACAGCAGAUAUUUUCUCAAAUAAGCAUAAUAUGUAAGAACCUGCUUGAGGCACUGGAGAAUACGAUCCGGACUAUCAGGCUAAUCAAUUACUAGAAUACUUGCAUUAGAAAUAAAAGCAAUAGAAACAUGCUGUAGGAAACUAUACAUUUUCAUGAGAGUGAUGAGGCAAAAAAUUUAUGGAAUAGAUGCUGAUAAUUAUGUUACGAACUGUUAGCUCAUACAAAAUCAUACAUAAUGUAUUUGUUAGGCAACAAUAUGAGAAAUGCAGAAAUAAACCUGUUUGGUAUUGGCUAUGAACACACAGACACACAUCCUUACACAUAUACAUACAUACAUACAUACAUAUACAUAUACAUGCAUGAUAAUUAUGUUACGAACUGUUAGCUCAUACAAAAUCAUACAUAAUGUAUUUGUUAGGCAGCAAUAUGAGAAAUGCAGAAAUAAACCUGUUUGGUAUUGGCUAUGAACACACAGACACACAUACUUACACAUAUACAUACAUACAUACAUACAUAUACAUAUACAUGCAUGCAUGUAUAUGUAUUUAUAUAUGUACAUAGAUGCAAGUAUCUGUAUAUAUGUAUAUGGAUAUAGUACAUAUUGCUGUCAUGAAGAUAUGGUUUGUAUAGGACCGGUACCUCCCAGAAGAGCUUAACUGUACGACUUGAAUCAGAAUAACCACCAGUGUACUUAGUGUUGCUUCGCAAAUCAUCAACAUCGAAGUCAUGAUUUCCACCUGAAAGCAGCUGCAUGCAGCAAUUAAAGAUUAGAACACCAUCAGAACAAAAGGUCUAAAUUUCAAAUUACUACAACACAAUGUUGUCAUUAGAAAUUAAUUCUAAAUCAACACAUAACAGUUAUAAUUUCCACUUGUAACAUAAGGAUAUAAAGUGGAUAUGAAUGUGACUAGGUAAGAUGGUGUUAGCACAAGUACGUUAGAGUAAGCUCAAACUUUGCCCCAAUAGAAGAAUAUUGUUAUGGUGUGGGAUGCUCAAACGCCAAAAGGGUCUGACAACUGGAGCAAUCAAGAGCAGUUGACUUAUGCUGAAGGGUCUGUAGGGAAUUCGAGACAUGGGAAACAUAAAUGGAGCUGGAAGAUGGUCUGAACUUUAAUGCAUAUCCAAAGAAUCAAAUCCACAUUAAGAAUGAAUGGUGAAGCAUAAAGUCAGACUUGAAUUAGAAGUCAUGAAGCUUGCCGGUUAUGCCAGAUUUUGUCAAUAACAGGCACAUGCACAGAUGGAAGUGCUUGCAUGCUCACAAACAAGCAUACAAAUUUAUACACAUUACAUGUCCGAAAGAACAAACGAGGAUUACAUUAUUUCUCAAAGGCAAGCAGAUUUCUUUGCACUUACAAAAUUAUUUAGCAGACUGUACAUUUAAAGAAUAACUUGCAAUGCAAAAUAGAAAUCCAAGAAACAGGAUUGAUUAAAACAACUAAGAAACAAGAAUUUGAGUAAAAGAAUUGUGCAAAUAUUAUUCAGAAUAAAUUACCUGAAGAGUGCUUGGUUUAAGUUAGGGGGAAAAUGAUAUCGUUAUUAUCUCUUAUCUCUUACAACAAGCUUAAAGUGGACAUUUAUUAAAAGUGAGUUUAUGGGAGAUGACAUCCUAUCUCAAAGUUAAGUGUUUUGACUUAUAAAUAAGAAACAUUAACUUAUCUUAUAAUACAACUGAUGCAUAUACAAGCUAAGUCAAUUCAGAUAAAUAGGUCAGUUGAACAGCUGUGCAGAACUUUAAAAUUAGAAUCCAUCUUCCAAACAUAAAAAUUUUAAAUCAGUUCAGUAAGAGGAGUCCUGAAGGAGCAGGGAAGUCUCAUAAUUCCAUGAGUAUAUCCUGAGUCAACAAGAACUGCAAUAGAAGGCACAAGAAAUUUUAUUACAUCUCAAAGAAGAAUUACCUGAUUGAAUUCAUUUGCAUUGAAUAAGCUCAACCAAGAUGGUGAUAUGAGAUCAACCAAGCCUCUAUAAAAUGCAUUUGCAAAUGGAAGUAUCUGCAGGCCAAAAUUACAAGAUCAAUUUAAUUUACAUAUACAAUAGAAUAUAGAUAAUAACAUACAUAUAUACCAGAAAUAUAUGACAUACUUGGCGAUUGAGUUUGUAGUCUGCCAUUGCAUGGACAUACUGUAACUUGUUUUCAUUUGUAACAGACACAUUUUUACCACCAGGUUUAAGCUCAGUUACAACCCUGCUGCCACAGAGCUCUUCAGUAACCGUAAAAUCUAAACACAGCUCCGCCACAUCACCAUCAAAAUGCUGUUGACUAACAGGACAUUAGGGAGGGGGAAAAAUCUAAUCCCAAUUAUAACAUAUGAAUCCAACUACACUGGUGAGGUUAUAACAGUAAUCACAUGAAUUAAAAAAUUUAUAAGCCUAAUUAUCACCAUUUUUUUUCCAAUGUCACUACUCUAGUGAAAUUGUUUUGAGAGAAAGAUUAGGCAAAACCUAAGCAACUUUCGUUAAGAAAAUGAAAGGUGCACUACUUUUGCACAAUUCAUCUUAAGAAGCUCUACCCACAAUAUUAUGGCAUUGAUCUUAACCAUAACAUAAUCAUAAGUAGAGAUACAAUUUCAUCACAUUGAUAGCACGAAACAAGUUGAAUAAUAAUAAACACCCAAGCCCCAAAUUCAGAAAAUAUCAAAUUGUAUUCAUAUAUCGAAGAAUAUCAAGUAUGCUUCCUUUAUUUCUGAACUGAGUCAGACAAAGCUGAAGUUCAGAAAACCUCCUACCUUUCAUUGAAAAGAAAACCUAAAUAUCUUGCAUAAACUGGCUGACAAGAUGUGUGCAUGCAUGCACAUAUGCCCGUCCACCUGCUUGCACACAUACAUAGCAACACAAGGUGCAAAGAGAGGAAUUCACCCUCACUGCAUAAUUCAGUGCUGGCGGUUGAAAAAUUGAAAUCUAAUCUGUUGGAUGUGAUCCAAAAGGCUUAAAAUGCCUAUGCAUAAAAAACUAUUUUCAUAAAGCCCUAGCCCAUGCAUCACACUGUCCUGAAUUAACACACCAUAUCAUGCCAUUAGAACUACAUAUUUGGGAGGACUUGAAGCAUUGGGCAGGAGGUUCCCAGAAUGUAUGAUUCUUCUACACGAGCAUUUACGAAAUGCAGUUCAAAUCCAAAAGUUUAGAUUUUUCAUUUUGCAACUUCAUUUAUUGAAUCUAUUGGGAGUAUAAGGUCUUUUUGUUAUGUGCUGGUAUGAUAACUGCAAUACACACAUACAAACACAACAUGAAUGUCAAUCAAGUGUCCAGGUGCUGAGAUGCAUUGAACAGGCAACCCUAUAUGAACACAAGGCAACCAAUAUCAAUAUUAAUAUAUAUAGUAACUUGUCGGUGCUGUGUUAACGGGUAUGAAACACUACUACAUUGACACAUGUACACAUCUUGAUGCCAGGACAGCAAAACAAAUGCAAAAACCAUGUAACAGUAUGGAGGCCUUACCAGUAUCAGUACCUUCCUGGUAUGAUCUAUGGUCUGUUUGGACUAGUACACAUCCAUACUCAAUCCUUGCCAUAUAUACCAUGUGCACUUAAUUAUACAUGGCUGCAUCUACAUUCUGUAAGGUUAUUAAUAAUAACAAUAUCUAGCUGAAAUUGUACAUGAAAAUAUCUUUUGCAACAAAAUUGACUAACUGUUAUAUGAAAAGGAUCAUUCAAUUAUGUUUAGCAGUUGUAAUUCCUAAAGGAGUGUCAUGGACUCUUCAAGUCAACAAUUAAAUCAUUACAUAUUGUGCUGGUACCAAUCAAGGGUCAGCAUGGUAUGCAUCUCAAGCCAACACAUGGAAGAACCAGCAAGAAAAAUACACAAGUCAAUAAAAGAUUUUGCACUCAGAAUUUAAUUUACACUACCCUUUUUUUGAACAUGAACUGGUUUUAGUUGCUUUAUUCUUCUCCAAAAAAAAAGGUUCCUUCUAGUUUUAUGCACACGAGACCUUUCCAACUAUACCGAGUGGCACCUUCAUAUUUUUGAUGAUUUGUACUACCAUCAUUUGCAUGAGGUGCAUGUGGACUUAUGGAACAUUGUCUAUUGAGUAUUAGAAAUGGAAUCUUUUUUAUUGCAUAGGCCAUUUAGUAACGUAACAUGCCAAUGUAUAUUUGGGACCUGCCUUGCACCCAAGGAGCCUGCCCUGGCAUCAACCAUCCCUAAACUCCUUGACUCACUCAGUUGCCACAUACCCCGCAAAUGUUUUGUGGAAAACUGAAUCACACAAAAUCAAUUAAUAUUGAUCCCAUCCUUUCAUGGUUUAAGAAGAUAACCUAAGUUUAUUACAUAGGCCUCCUACCGAUGGCACACUAUAAGGUGUAAGGCAUUGCCUUAAAUGAUCCUAAUGUCUAUCUCUCCCUAAUUUGAGCCUCAAGGUGUUUUUCUAAAGAGUCUAAAGGAGUUAGGGAAUUUAAGCCUCAAGUAAGAUUUCUUUUUUUACCAAUGGUAUGUUUAUUCUGUACCUAUGUUUAUUCUGUAUCAACUCCCAGAAGAUCUUUCCUAACAUAUCAUAAACUCAUAAUUUUCAUAGGGUCAGAAUUGUCGGAUUUGAAUGUACUAAUAUUUAAGUCUUGGUGCCGUUCCCCAUAUCGGUAUCUUACUGGCAUGAUAUAGUGCGAUUGGAGAGAACGCAGCAAAUACUACCAUGCAUUGAUGCGGGGGAGCAUAUCAAGCCCUCUAACUAUACCAUUAUUGUAAGCUCCUGGAAUCUCAUUCAAAAAGGCUAAUCAGAAGUACCUCCAAGAUCUUGCCAACGCACAAUCGUUGUGGGAAUAAACACAUGCUGGCAAAGGUCCUCAAAAGUACCCUGUUGUAUUGUUAUGGUUUGCACCGAAUAGUCCAGAAUGGUACAAUACUCGAAAUGCUGCUAUUCAUCAUGGUUGGAAUGAUUUCUUAGGUACAACAUAAGUUCUUAGAGGCAUGCAACCAAGAAGUACAAUAACCCCAUUCCAUAUUGUAAUUCUAAAACAUGAGUAGAUAUCAAAAUCUAAUGAAAUGUAAACAUAUGAAAUACAAGGCUUUUAUUAGAAAUCAACAAAGAGCAACAAAAUGAACUUCAAAAAUAUAAAUACUACAACCAUGAGCUUACCUUUACAUACAUAAGACUCCUGUACAGUUCAGGAUCUAGUGUUGAUAAUUCAUCAAGAAAGCUAUAGCGACCCAACAGCUUCUGCACAAAGACUGGUGAAAAGGAAUAGUCUAGUAAAAUCCCUUCAUAAAGAGCUUUUCCAACCACUCUUCCAAGGAAUUCAAUCAUCUCAACGCCGUUGCCUAGCAAUCUGGCAGACAUAUUAGGAAUUAAAUUGUUCUCUGAUGUAGAGGUCUGAGAGAAAAAUCCAUACCUGUGUUCCCAUAAUAUGUCAAGUAAUUUUUUAUUAUGUACAGGUAAAUGAGUUACUUGAAAGAAAAUGGAUUCCUACAUGAAGAAACAGCAUUUAGACUUACUGAGGGUCAAAGGAAGCCUUUGACAAAUCAGUUAAGAACUCCUUUGACAGACCUCCAUAAUCUAGACCAGCUUCAGGAAGACCACAUUCACUGAUAAAUGACACAUUAAUGCAUGACUUUAACCUUGAUCCAAGAAAAUUCAAUUGUCUAUAUCCGUCUUCAAUAAUGUGGUUUCGACGAACAACUAUCUCAAUUGACCCUGAACCUGAUCCAGACACCUCACCGGCCACUCUUCUAGAGACUUUGUCCAUCUUAAUAAAUUCCCUAAACAUUUGAACUCUGCAAAGGGACUAUAAAUGUAAAUGAACCAUUAUCAUGAAAUAUUAGUGGCAAAAGCACAGAUCUGGAAAUUACAACUUCAAAAAGGCUCUAUUUAAUGUUGUCAAUAAAGUGAUAUUGUAAAGCAGGUCAAUUUGAUUCAAUCAUUUCAGAGCUAAAAACAAGGUAGCAGCAAUGAUUAGAUAUCUGCUUAGCAAAGGAAAGAUGCAUUAGAGUCUAAGAACUUUACAGGACCGAACUUGAGUUUAAGAUAUGAUGAUUAAGUACAACAAUACAAAUUUACAACUAAUGACAGCGACAAUCAUGGAAUACUAGUUCACAGUGAUGGCUUUUCACAUCUGUCUAGAGGUAUCAUGCUUCCCAUAUGAUACAUAAGUCACAUCUAACUCACAAACAAACAACGUGACUUCUUUAUCCCUUUUUAAGUCCGCAGCAGUCUCCAUUAUCUAUCAAGCAACAAUCAUUCAGAACUUUAUGGACCACUUUGGCCACCCUAGGUUGAUCUAGAUAGGGUUUUGCAGUAAGAGUAGACAUCCAUUUUGGCAAGCCAAGCAUCAAAAUAAAGCUCUCAGCAAGUAUUAUGAAAGUGCAGUGACUCCCUAAAGGGUUUAUCACACAAAAUAAACUAGGGACUAUGAUGACAUCUGGGCCUUUAAACUGGCCGAUCAAAGUAAAGUUUUCUUUUCAAGGAAAACAUCGAUCUCACAAUCUGGGAAGAAUUAGGUGAAAUGGUUUUGAUAUAAAAAGUCGAGAUCUAGCUCCAUGGAGAUUUUAUAUUUUUGUGAUUAUUUGUACUGGUCAUAGGGAUUUUGGAAAAGAUGCAACAUCUUCUAACUAUAAGAGAAAUCCGACCUGGAUUUUGUAAGGACAGACCUCACUAGUAUAAAUAAAGGGAUUGUAAUCAGCUUUUUGCAAUUCUCCUGUUUUUUUAGAGUUCAUACAUGAGCAGAUUGAAAAAUUUGCUUCAUUCUCUCUCCAAUCGGGUCAGGAACAUGGAGGAGAAGAUAGUUUUUCAGCACCCUGG